AUUUUCAUAGUUUAAAAAAACCUAACUCUUUCAUAGUUAAAAUGAGGAAUUUAACCUCUGUAAAUA
rnacentral:tRNA from 1 species